rnacentral:rRNA from 1 species
UACGUAGGGGGCAAGCGUUGUCCGGAUUUAUUGGGCGUAAAGAGCGUGUAGGCGGUUCGGUAGGUCCGUUGUGAAAGUCGAGGGCUCAACCCUCGAAUGCCGGUGGAUACUGUCGGGCUUGAGUACGGGAGAGGCGAGUGGAAUUCCUGGUGUAGCGGUGAAAUGCGCAGAUAUCAGGAGGAACACCGAUUGCGAAGGCAGCUCGCUGGAACGUUACUGACGCUGAGACGCGAAAGCGUGGGGAGCAAACAGG